rnacentral:rRNA from 1 species
AUGACGGGCCCUGAAAGUUCUUCGUCCACGGACCAUCUAGAGCUGCAAUCCUUACAACUGGAUGUCAAACAAUUGCAGCAAAACAGAGAGGCUGACAGACGAGACUUCGAAGAUUUCAGAGAGCACGUUGCCAGUAACUUUCAGUCCCUGCAGAAAACUUUGGGAGAGUUACACGGCUCACUAUCCAAUUUCAUUGCUGGGUUCCCAAAACCUAGAGAAAGCCCCCAAGAUGUUGCACAAGGCAGUGGCCAACAGCAAACACCUCAGGGCCCUAACCAUGCAACUCAUGUGGUCAUCCAAACCCCUCCAACUAUGGGAUCUGCAACUUUAGUAGACAAGAACACAGGCAAAGAGCUCAACUUGGAUGGCAGCAACAAAAUCCCUUACAGACAUCCACAUUUUGAUGCACCCAAAAAUCUUGCUCCUGAUGCAAGAGCACCUACUGCAGGUAACCAGGGCCCAACUACACAGCAGCCAAUACAGCUUGACCUGGAGCUAGAUGAGCAACUUCCUCAACAGGAAGCCAGAGGAGGAAAUGUGCAGAGAGACCAGUUACAGGAUAACAGAAGACCUAUGGCACUCGUCAAACCAGCCAAAUACAACAUUCCUGAAUUUGAUGGAAGUGGCACUGACUCUUGGAUCCAGACUAUUGAACUGUAUUUUGAGGCUGCUAGAACACCCCUGGAGCAGAAAACAGAAAUUGCAGUCACAUACCUGAAAGGCCCUGCAAUUGAGUGGUGGAGAGGCACUGCAAUAGUUGCUAACACUUUGCCCUGGUAUAGAUUUUGUAGACUCCUGGGUGACAGAUUUGCUGAGACAUCUGUCUGUGAUAAUGUGAGAUCAUUUCAUGCACUCACCCAAACAGGAUCUGUCAAUGAGUAUAUACUCAAGUUUGAGCAAGCUAUGAAUUUAAUGCGAAGAGACAAUCCUGCUCUUCCGCAAGAUUACUACAAAACCAGUUUUAUUUCUGGCUUACACGACAACAUUCAGCAUUAUGUCCAAUGUCAUGAACCUCAAGAUCUGUAG